CUGCGAGGAAACGACCUGAUUACUGCAGCGCGCCGGGAGGGGCGCGCAAUAGGCGACCCUGGCUUGGGGGUGGCAGACUCUGCAGCGGGUCUAAGCCUACGUCCCCGGUCUUUAAGUCCGUUGGUGCAGCAGAUUUCAAGGCUGAGAGAGGAAGACUGCUUCUGAUCCCUGCAGGAAGAAGAAGCAGGAAAAAAA
rnacentral:lncRNA from 1 species